UGGCUCGCCAGUUCCUGCAUGCAAUGACGGCUGUAACGCCAAGCAGGGACCGUUCAAGUUCAAAAUCUUCCUCAGAAAUCGGUUAAUGUCCAGGAAACGUGCAGCAUCCGACUCAGGAAAUUAUGAAAAAAAAUAGAAAAUAGAAAGAAAACAAGAAAGGACA